rnacentral:rRNA from 1 species
GAUGAACGCUAGCGGCAGGCCUAACACAUGCAAGUCGAGGGGCAGCACAGAAACAGCAAUGUUUUGGUGGCGACCGGCGGACGGGUGCGUAACGCGUAUGCAACCUACCUUUAACAGGGGGAUAACGGAGAGAAAUUUCCACUAAUACCCCAUAACAUCGAUCAAGGCAUCUUGAUUGGUUGAAAACUCCGGUGGUUAAAGAUGGGCAUGCGUUGUGUUAGGUAGUUGGUGAGGUAAUGGCUCACCAAGCCUACGAUACAUAGGGGGACUGAGAGGUUAGCACCCCACACUGGGACUGAGACACGGACCAGACUCCUACGGGAGGCAGCAGUGAGGAAUAUUGGUCAAUGGGGGCGACCCUGAACCAGCCAUGCCGCGUGCAGGAAGACGGCUCUAUGAGUUGUAAACUGCUUUUAAACAGGGAUAAAGCACAGUAUGUAUACUGUGUUGAAGGUACUGUAAGAAUAAGGAUCGGCUAACUCCGUGCCAGCCGCCGCGGUAA